rnacentral:rRNA from 1 species
UACGUAGGGUGCGAGCGUUAAUCGGAAUUACUGGGCGUAAAGCGUGCGCAGGCGGUUGUGCAAGACAGAUGUGAAAUCCCCCGGGCUUAACCUGGGAAUUGCAUUUGUGACUGCACGGCUAGAGUGUGUCAGAGGGAGGUAGAAUUCCACGUGUAGCAGUGAAAUGCGUAGAUAUGUGGAGGAAUACCGAUGGCGAAGGCAGCCGUCCUGGGCGUGCACUGACGCUCAUGCACGAAAGCGUGGGGAGCAAACAGG